rnacentral:lncRNA from 1 species
UAUGUCAGCUUCCACUUAUUUCCUUGCGUGUCAUAUUUUACAUACAAUAUCAAAUUUAAAUAAAAAAUUCAAGCAUGCCAAUUGUUUUGUUGUCUAGUGUUUACGACAAUGGCGGAGCUAGACCAGAAUUUUAUAGGGGGCAUACUAUAUAUAAUAAAAGAAAAUAUAAGUGAUAUUAUUAUUAAAACUAAUAAAAUGACAAAAUUUGGAAGAAAAAUCAGAAAAAGAUGAAAAGAGGGCAACAUGAGAUUUGAACAUAAAUUCAUAGAGGGCAUUAGAAGAGAUUUUACCAUUGAAGCUAUGAAAUUUUCUAAUUAUCAAUAAAAAUGCAAAUUAUUUGAACAUUUUACAAGGGGCAGCUGCCCCCUUACUCCUCUCCCUC